UUGGGACUGAGACACGGCCCAGACUCCUACGGGAGGCAGCAGUGGGGGAUAUUGCACAAUGGGGGAAACCCUGAUGCAGCGACGCCGCGUGGAGGAAGAAGGUUUUCGGAUUGUAAACUCCUGUCGUUAGGGACGAUAAUGACGGUACCUAACAAGAAAGCACCGGCUAACUACGUGCCAGCAGCCGCGGUAAAACGUAGGGUGCAAGCGUUGUCCGGAAUUACUGGGUGUAAAGGGAGCGCAGGCGGGAAGACAAGUUGGAAGUGAAAACCAUGGGCUCAACCCAUGAAUUGCUUUCAAAACUGUUUUUCUUGAGUAGUGCAGAGGUAGAUGGAAUUCCCGGUGUAGCGGUGGAAUGCGUAGAUAUCGGGAGGAACACCAGUGGCGAAGGCGGUCUACUGGGCACCAACUGACGCUGAGGCUCGAAAGCAUGGGUAGCAAACAGGAUUAGAUACCCUGGUAGUCCAUGCCGUAAACGAUGAUUACUAGGUGUUGGGGGAUUGACCCCCUCAGUGCCGCAGUUAACACAAUAAGUAAUCCACCUGGGGAGUACGACCGCAAGGUUGAAACUCAAAGGAAUUGACGGGGGCCCGCACAAGCAGUGGAGUAUGUGGUUUAAUUCGAAGCAACGCGAAGAACCUUACCAGGUCUUGACAUCCUACUAACGAGAUAGAGAUAUGUUAGGUGCCCUUCGGGGAAAGUAGAGACAGGUGGUGCAUGGUUGUCGUCAGCUCGUGUCGUGAGAUGUUGGGUUAAGUCCCGCAACGAGCGCAACCCUUAUUGUUAGUUGCUACCAUUUAGUUGAGCACUCUAGCGAGACUGCCCGGGUUAACCGGGAGGAAGGUGGGGAUGACGUCAAAUCAUCAUGCCCCUUAUGUCUAGGGCUACACACGUGCUACAAUGGCAAGUACAAAGAGAAGCAAGACCGCGAGGUGGAGCAAAACUCAAAAACUUGUCUCAGUUCGGAUUGUAGGCUGAAACUCGCCUACAUGAAGCUGGAGUUGCUAGUAAUCGCGAAUCAGCAUGUCGCGGUGAAUACGUUCCCGGGCCUUGUACACACCGCCCGUCACACCAUGAGAGUUGGCAAUACCCAACGUACGUGAUCUAACCCGCAAGGGAGGAAGCGUCCUAAGGUAGGGUCAGCGAUUGGGGUGAAGUCGUAACAAGGUAGCCGUAGGAG
rnacentral:rRNA from 1 species